UUCCCUGUGUUUUUGGGGCCUGUCAGCCGUGGCAGUCUCCCCUCGUAGCUGUGGAAGAGCGUGUCCUUGUGUACGGGCAAAGCUGGCACCAUUUAACUGGUGUCAGAUUCUGACUUGCACAAGUAACCUUC